rnacentral:piRNA from 1 species
UUUGUGUAGCGCAUUAAAUGU